rnacentral:rRNA from 2 species
AAGCUUGCUUCUCUGAUGUUAGCGGCGGACGGGUGAGUAACACGUGGGUAACCUACCUAUAAGACUGGGAUAACUCCGGGAAACCGGGGCUAAUACCGGAUAAUAUUUUGAACCGCAUGGUUCAAUAGUGAAAGACGGUUUCGGCUGUCACUUAUAGAUGGACCCGCGCCGUAUUAGCUAGUUGGUAAGGUAACGGCUUACCAAGGCGACGAUACGUAGCCGACCUGAGAGGGUGAUCGGCCACACUGGAACUGAGACACGGUCCAGACUCCUACGGGAGGCAGCAGUAGGGAAUCUUCCGCAAUGGGCGAAAGCCUGACGGAGCAACGCCGCGUGAGUGAUGAAGGUCUUCGGAUCGUAAAACUCUGUUGUUAGGGAAGAACAAAUUUGUUAGUAACUGAACAAGUCUUGACGGUACCUAACCAGAAAGCCACGGCUAACUACGUGCCAGCAGCCGCGGUAAUACGUAGGUGGCAAGCGUUAUCCGGAAUUAUUGGGCGUAAAGCGCGCGUAGGCGGUUUCUUAAGUCUGAUGUGAAAGCCCACGGCUCAACCGUGGAGGGUCAUUGGAAACUGGAAACUUGAGUGCAGAAGAGGAGAGUGGAAUUCCAUGUGUAGCGUGAAAUGCGCAGAGAUAUGGAGGAACACCAGUGGCGAAGGCGGCUCUCUGGUCUGUAACUGACGCUGAUGUGCGAAAGCGUGGGGAUCAAACAGGAUUAGAUACCCUGGUAGUCCACGCCGUAAACGAUGAGUGCUAAGUGUUAGGGGGUUUCCGCCCCUUAGUGCUGCAGCUAACGCAUUAAGCACUCCGCCUGGGGAGUACGACCGCAAGGUUGAAACUCAAAGGAAUUGACGGGGACCCGCACAAGCGGUGGAGCAUGUGGUUUAAUUCGAAGCAACGCGAAGAACCUUACCAAAUCUUGACAUCCUUUGACCGCUCUAGAGAUAGAGUCUUCCCCUUCGGGGGACAAAGUGACAGGUGGUGCAUGGUUGUCGUCAGCUCGUGUCGUGAGAUGUUGGGUUAAGUCCCGCAACGAGCGCAACCCUUAAGCUUAGUUGCCAUCAUUAAGUUGGGCACUCUAGGUUGACUGCCGGUGACAAACCGGAGGAAGGUGGGGAUGACGUCAAAUCAUCAUGCCCCUUAUGAUUUGGGCUACACACGUGCUACAAUGGAUAAUACAAAGGGCAGCGAAUCCGCGAGGCCAAGCAAAUCCCAUAAAAUUAUUCUCAGUUCGGAUUGUAGUCUGCAACUCGACUACAUGAAGCUGGAAUCGCUAGUAAUCGUAGAUCAGCAUGCUACGGUGAAUACGUUCCCGGGUCUUGUACACACCGCCCGUCACACCACGAGAGUUUGUAACACCCGAAGCCGGUGGAGUAACCUUUUAGGAGCUAGCCGUCGA